GAACGCUAGCUACAGGCUUAACACAUGCAAGUCGAGGGGCAGCAUUUUAGUUUGCUUGCAAACUGAAGAUGGCGACCGGCGCACGGGUGAGUAACACGUAUCCAACCUGCCGAUAACUCCGGAAUAGCCUUUCGAAAGAAAGAUUAAUACCGGAUAGCAUACGAAUAUCGCAUGAUAUUUUUAUUAAAGAAUUUCGGUUAUCGAUGGGGAUGCGUUCCAUUAGUUUGUUGGCGGGGUAACGGCCCACCAAGACAACGAUGGAUAGGGGUUCUGAGAGGAAGGUCCCCCACAUUGGAACUGAGACACGGUCCAAACUCCUACGGGAGGCAGCAGUGAGGAAUAUUGGUCAAUGGGCGAGAGCCUGAACCAGCCAAGUAGCGUGAAGGAUGAAGGCUCUAUGGGUCGUAAACUUCUUUUAUAUGGGAAUAAAGUUUUCCACGUGUGGAAUUUUGUAUGUACCAUAUGAAUAAGGAUCGGCUAACUCCGUGCCAGCAGCCGCGGUAAUACGGAGGAUCCGAGCGUUAUCCGGAUUUAUUGGGUUUAAAGGGAGCGUAGGUGGAUUGUUAAGUCAGUUGUGAAAGUUUGCGGCUCAACCGUAAAAUUGCAGUUGAAACUGGCAGUCUUGAGUACAGUAGAGGUGGGCGGAAUUCGUGGUGUAGCGGUGAAAUACUUAGAUAUCACGAAGAACUCCGAUUGCGAAGGCAGCUCACUAGACUGUCACUGACACUGAUGCUCGAAAGUGUGGGUAUCAAACAGGAUUAGAUACCCUGGUAGUCCACACAGUAAACGAUGAAUACUCGCUGUUUGCGAUAUACAGUAAGCGGCCAAGCGAAAGCAUUAAGUAUUCCACCUGGGGAGUACGCCGGCAACGGUGAAACUCAAAGGAAUUGACGGGGGCCCGCACAAGCGGAGGAACAUGUGGUUUAAUUCGAUGAUACGCGAGGAACCUUACCCGGGCUUAAAUUGCAACAGAAUAUAUUGGAAACAGUAUAGCCGUAAGGCUGUUGUGAAGGUGCUGCAUGGUUGUCGUCAGCUCGUGCCGUGAGGUGUCGGCUUAAGUGCCAUAACGAGCGCAACCCUUAUCUUUAGUUACUAACAGGUGAUGCUGAGGACUCUAGAGAGACUGCCGUCGUAAGAUGUGAGGAAGGUGGGGAUGACGUCAAAUCAGCACGGCCCUUACGUCCGGGGCUACACACGUGUUACAAUGGGGGGUACAGAAGGCGGCUACCUGGUGACAGGAUGCUAAUCCCAAAAACCUCUCUCAGUUCGGAUCGAAGUCUGCAACCCGACUUCGUGAAGCUGGAUUCGCUAGUAAUCGCGCAUCAGCCAUGGCGCGGUGAAUACGUUCCCGGGCCUUGUACACACCGCCCGUCAAGCCAUGAAAGCCGGGGGUACCUGAAGUACGUAACCGCAAGGAGCGUCCUAGGGUAAAACUGGUAAUUGGGGC
rnacentral:rRNA from 1 species